ensembl:lncRNA
UAAAGUGGCUAGUGAUACAUGUAUUACAUAAGGAUGCAGUCGAUGAUAUAGAGUACAGUAUCAACGUAUGCAUAUGAGAUGAACAAUGUAGGGUAAGUAACAUUAUAUAAGGUAGCAUUGUUUAAAGUGGCUAGUGAUAUAUUUACAUCAUUUCCCAUCAAUUCCCAUGAUUAAAGUGGCUGGAGUAGAGUCAGUGUCAUUGACAGUGUGUUGGCAGUAGCCACUCAAUGUUAGUGGUGGCUGUUUAACAGUCUGAUGGCCUUGAGAUAGAAGCUGUUUUUCAGUCUCUCGGUCCCAGCUUUGAUGCACCUGUACUGACCUCGCCUUCUGGAUGACAGCGGGGUGAACAGGCAGUGGCUCGGGUGGUUGAUAUCCUUGAUGAUCUUUAUGGCCUUCCUGUAGCAUCGGGUGGUGUAGGUGUCCUGGAGGGCAGGUAGUUUGCCCCCGGUGAUGCGUUGUGCAGACCUCACUACCCUCUGGAGAGCCUUACGGUUGAGGGCGGUGCAGUUGCCAUACCAGGCGGUGAUACAGCCCGCCAGGAUGGUGGGAGGGUUAAAUACACAACAGGUAAUUAAAUGGCAUUGAAACCAGGUGUGUUGGAAGACAAGACAAAACCAAUGGGAAAUGAAAAAUGGAUCAAUGAUGACUAGAAGACCGGUGACGUCGACCGAGGAGCACCGCCCGAACAAGGAGAGGCAACAACUUCGGCAGAAGUAGUGACAACGGGUUUAGGAUUGUAUAGGGUUAAAACAUUAGGUUUAGUCUCUCAUUCUAAAUGGUUAAGGUAAAGGUCAAGGUUUGGAAAGGGUUAAGGUACUGGUCAAGGAUUGGAUAGGGUUAAGGUACUGGUUAAGGAUUGGAUAGGGUUAAGGUACUGGUUAAGGUUUGGAUAGGGUUAAGGUACUGGUUAAGGUUUGGAUAGGGUUAAGGUACUGGUUAAGGUUUGGAUAGGGUUAAGGUACUGGUCAAGGUUUGGAUAGGGUUAAGGUACUGGUCAAGGUUUGGAUAGGGUUAAGGUACUGGUUAAGGAUUGGAUAGGGUUACGGUACUGGUCAAGGUUUGGAUAGGGUUAAGGUACUGGUUAAGGAUUGGAUAGGGUUAAGGUACUGGUUAAGGUUUGGAUAGGGUUAAGGUACUGGUUAAGGAUUGGAUAGGUUUAAGGUACUGGUCAAGGUUUGGAUAGGGUUAAGGUACUGGUCAAGGUUUGGAUAGGGUUAAGGUACUGGUUAAGGAUUGGAUAGGGUUAAGGUACUGGUCAAGGAUUGGAUAGGGUUAAGGUACUGGUUAAGGAUUGGAUAGGGUUAAGGUACUGGUCAAGGUUUGGAUAGGGUUAAGGUACUGGUUAAGGAUUGGAUAGGGUUAAGGUACUGGUCAAGGUUUGGAUAGGGCUAAGGUACUGGUUAAGGAUUCUAUAGGGUUAAGACAUUGAGUUUAGUCUCUCAUUCUGAAUGGUUAAGGUAAAGGUCAAGGUUUGGAUAGGGUUAAGUUAAAACCAACUAUAAAAACCAGUGUCUGUGACCAGGAUCAAACACACAGCCUUCUGAUCCAGAGGUAUGGGAUUCCACCUCUCCAUCCGCUCAUCCACAACACUCCAGCAAAACCCAGGCCUACUUGAUGGUAAUAGUGCUCACUGUUGCCUCUAGUGGCUGGUUUUGAAGGCAUUUCCCGAUGUCUUCAGGAAAGCGAUAGACGUCCAAUUUCAACAAUAAUCUUGAACGAACUGGCUGCACACACACACACACACACACACACACACACACACACACAAUGCCUCGGAUCCCUAAGCGCUUCCUGCUAGCCGACCUGUGAAUGUCUAUCUGCUAGGAGGGCUCUUACUCUGGCCCUUUGCCUCAUACUUGGAGAUUGCCCCACAUUUGGAGGAGGGAUGGGAUGAUGGUACAAGUCAGUUAGUAUGACGCGAGGGCACUGAGGGAGUGUCCCAAAUGUCAGCCUAUUACCUAUAGUGCACUACUUUUGCCCAGGGUUCAUAGGGAAGAGGAUGCCAUUUGGUAUGGUACCUACCUACUGCAUCAUUUUAAAGAUACUGUAUAGAUAGAUAUAUACAGUACCAGUCAAAGUUUGGACUCAGCUACUCAAUCAAGGUUUUUUCUUUGUUUUGUACUAUUUUGUACAAAACUAUGACACAUAUGGAAUCAUGCAGUAACCAAAAAAGUGUAAAACAAAUCAAAAUAUAAUUUAUAUUUGAGAUUCUUCAAAGUAGCCACCCCUUGCCUCGAUAACAGCUUUGCACACUCUUGGCAUUCUCUCAACCGGCUUCAUGAGGUAGUCACCUGGAAUGCAUUUCAAUUAACAUGUGUGCCUUGUUAAAAGUUAAUUUGUGGAAUUUCUUUCCUUCUUUAAUGAGUUUGAGCCAAUCAGUUGUGUUUUGACAAGGUAGGGGUGGUAUACAGGUAAAAGACAAAGUCCAUAUUAUGGCAACAACAGCUAAGCAAAGAGAAACAACAGUGGGUCCAAACUUUUGACUGGUACUAUAUGUAGUGCACUACUUUUGACCAGGGUUCAUAUAUGUAGUGCACUACUUUUGACCAGGGUUCAUAUAUGUAGUGCACUACUUUUGGCCAGGGUUCAAAUAUGUAGUGCACUACUUUUGGCCAGGGUUCAUAUAUGUAGUGCACUACUUUUGACCAGGGUUCAUAUAUGUAGUGCACUACUUUUGGCCAGGGUUCAAAUAUGUAGUGCACUACUUUUGGCCAGGGUUCAUAUAUGUAGUGCACUACUUUUGACCAGGGUUCAUAUAUGUAGUGCACUACUUUUGGCCAGGGUUCAUAUAUGUAGUGCACUACUUUUGGCCAGGGUUCAUAUAUGUAGUGCACUACUUCUGACCAGGGUUCAUAUAUGUAGUGCACUACAUUUGACCAGGGUUCAUAUAUGUAGUGCACUACUUUUGACCAGGGCUGCUGUUUAACAGGCUCCCAACCAGCUGUGCUAUUGUGUUAGUUUUUUCGCAUUGUUAGUAACUUGUUUUGUACAUAAUGUUGCUUCUACCGUCUCUUAUGACCGGAAAGAGCUUCUGGACGUCAGAACGGCGAUUCCUCACCUCGAACUGGAUGAAGAUUUUUUCUUUAAUGAGUCCGAUGCAAAGGAUUUACUGCUUUGUCAAGGUCCAAAUCCCCGUCAU